AAAAGAGAUAACUGGUAUUCUUGUCCCAGUGAAUAGUUCUUCAUUUGUAUUUUUUCUGUUGUGGUGCCUUGAGUUCGUUUUUCUGUGUUUUUUUUUUUGUUGGAAAAUGUCUGCAUCAUUCAUGAUUCAUGCACACAAAGGAUUGGAGUCAGCAAAUGGCCAUAAUGUGGUGGCAUUCCUCCGGAACAAUCAAAAACAAUCAAAACUACAACACAAAGAAAUCAAAAAUGUUGAACAUUUUUUAAGCAUUUGUGUGGAAUUUUUGUUCCAAAAUGUGGCAUAACUUUUGGGAUAUGUGGAAAAAUGGUCAUGUGACCUAUCAAAAUAGGCCAGUAAAUCAGAAAUUCAGCCAAAAAUUGAAAAUUCUUUUUUCAAUUGCUUUUGAAGAAUUUUAAGCACAAAUCUGGAAUGUAAUUUUCAAAAUUUUUGAAUCGGUGCCACAAUGGGCCCCAUCAAGGGUUGAUAUUUCACAAAAAAUUCAAAUAUUUGAACGGAAAUAUUUUUUGACAAUUUUUGAGGAAAUUUUGACCCAAAUUUUCGAUCCAAACUUUUUUUGAUAACUUUUGAGCCAUAACUAGGGUCAUUAUUUUCUGGGUUAUUGAAAAAGGUGCCUUGAAACCUGUCAAAAUGAAGUAAAAUUUUGACUGAAAAUCAAAAUAUUCGUGUUCAAUAAUUUUUGAGCACAUUAAAAGAACUUUGAGUUUGAACUAAAAUCAUGGUUUUUGGAUAAAAUGCAACGCUACAUAUCAAAAUGAGUUAAAAUCUGCUAGAAAAUUGAAUAUUGUAACGAAAAUGUUCAUCAGACAUUUUUGUAUGUUUUUAAAUACAAAAUUGAGUCGUAAUUAAUGUUUAUAUUUUUGAAAAAUGUGUCAUACUUAGCUACCUGCUUAAAAUACAAAUUUUUAAAAAUUUUCACUCUUCCUCCUGUAGGUCUUGUCCUCUUUUUUCAAAAUCAACUUUCCAAAAAAGAACAUUGCGUUUAGGUCUCUUGAAAUUAAAUUUUCAAAAACUGUUCUUGUUUAAAAAUAAAUAAAAAAAAGAGGCAUUUCAACCAUCAAAAAACGAAACAGGACAUGAAAAUCUUCAUAAGUUCUAUGAAUACUUACAAUAUCAAUCAAAUACGUUAAUUUUCCUUAUUUUUGUUUUUUUGUACUUAUUUUUUUCUCUGUAUAGACUAGACAAUGAAAAUUAAGUUAUGUAUAUUUAUACAUACUUGUAUUAUGUUUGUUAUUUUCUUAUAAAUAUACAUUCAAUUACCACAA